AGUUAACUGACGAGUCCCAAAUAGGACGAAACGCGCGUCCUGGAU
rnacentral:hammerhead_ribozyme from 1 species